GACGAAGGGUGCUGGUUUUUCUUGUGUGUCCGGUCCGGAUGGAGAGAGAGAGUCGGUUUUACCUGAAUCGAAGCGGUCUGGGUCGGCUUUUCUUGUAAGAGACUGAGCGGUGGGCCAUAUCUGUUAGAAAGAGCAUCUAUACGUAGAAAACACAAGUUUUGCAACAAGCUGCCUGUAUCUUGAUACGUAUUUGCAAAAAAAAUUGAAAGAUG
rnacentral:lncRNA from 1 species